GAUGAACGCUGGCGGCGUGCCUAAUACAUGCAAGUCGAGCGAACAGACGAGGAGCUUGCUCCUCUGACGUUAGCGGCGGACGGGUGAGUAACACGUGGAUAACCUACCUAUAAGACUGGGAUAACUUCGGGAAACCGGGGCUAAUACCGGAUAAUAUAUUGAACCGCAUGGUUCAAUAGUGAAAGACGGUUUUGCUGUCACUUAUAGAUGGAUCCGCGCCGCAUUAGCUAGUUGGUAAGGUAACGGCUUACCAAGGCAACGAUGCGUAGCCGACCUGAGAGGGUGAUCGGCCACACUGGAGCUGAGACACGGUCCAGACUCCUACGGGAGGCAGCAGUAGGGAAUCUUCCGCAAUGGGCGAAAGCCUGACGGAGCAACGCCGCGUGAGUGAUGAAGGUCUUCGGAUCGUAAAACUCUGUUAUGAGGGAAGAACAAAUGUGUAAGUAACUAUGCACGUCUUGACGGUACCUAAUCAGAAAGCCACGGCUAACUACGUG
rnacentral:rRNA from 1 species